rnacentral:rRNA from 1 species
AGAGUUUGAUCCUGGCUCAGGACGAACGCUGGCGGCGUGCUUAACACAUGCAAGUCGAACGGAAAGGCCCUGCUUUUGUGGGGUGCUCGAGUGGCGAACGGGUGAGUAACACGUGAGUAACCUGCCCUUGACUUUGGGAUAACUUCAGGAAACUGGGGCUAAUACCGGAUAGGAGCUCCUGCUGCAUGGUGGGGGUUGGAAAGUUUCGGCGGUUGGGGAUGGACUCGCGGCUUAUCAGCUUGUUGGUGGGGUAGUGGCUUACCAAGGCUUUGACGGGUAGCCGGCCUGAGAGGGUGACCGGCCACAUUGGGACUGAGANACGGCCCAGACUCCUACGGGAGGCAGCAGUGGGAAUAUUGCACAAUGGGCGGAAGCCUGAUGCAGCAACGCCGCGUGCGGGAUGACGGCCUUCGGGUUGUAAACCGCUUUCGCCUGUGACGAAGCGUGAGUGACGGUAAUGGGUAAAGAAGCACCGGCUAACUACGUGCCAGCAGCCGCGGUGAUACGUAGGGUGCGAGCGUUGUCCGGAUUUAUUGGGCGUAAAGGGCUCGUAGGUGGUUGAUCGCGUCGGAAGUGUAAUCUUGGGGCUUAACCCUGAGCGUGCUUUCGAUACGGGUUGACUUGAGGAAGGUAGGGGAGAAUGGAAUUCCUGGUGGAGCGGUGGAAUGCGCAGAUAUCAGGAGGAACACCAGUGGCGAAGGCGGUUCUCUGGGCCUUUCCUGACGCUGAGGAGCNAAAGCGUGGAGGUNGCUAGAUNCAGGAUUAGAUACCCUGGUAGUCCACGCUGUAAACGGUGGGUACUAGGUGUCGUGGGUGGAGGUCGCUAGAUG